UGGUGGUGGAAGGCGACGACCAGGUGCUGGUAGAGCUCCUGACCGGCAAGGAGACGCAGACGCGGAUACCACUGGCGAUGCAAGAGGAGAUCAUCGAGCUGCUCGAGCACUUCUCGACGUGCCAGGUGCAGCACAUAUACCGCGAGGGCAACCAGGUCGCCCACGUUCUCUGCAAAGAAGCGUAUCAGCGGCCGGGAGUGUGGAAGAGCGGGAUCGUGCCACACGCCGUCUGGGAGAAGGUGCUGGAUGACAUGCAUGGCGUGGCGCACGAGCGGAUCUGCAAGAAGAAGAAGCUGUGGUAGCCAGCCUCGAAGAUGGGUGUCUACCGGCUGCCGGCUGGUGCAAGAGCGUGGUUGAGGGCAAAUUAAUCCUUUGUUUGUAGUUAUAGAUCGGUCAUGUCACGAGGUCUCUACACUUCUACGUAUUACAUCGUUGUACGUUUCAGG
rnacentral:lncRNA from 1 species